GAUCAUGGCUCAGGAUGAACGCUAGCUACAGGCUUAACACAUGCAAGUCGAGGGGAAACGACAUCGAAAGCUUGCUUUUGAUGGGCGUCGACCGGCGCACGGGUGAGUAACGCGUAUCCAACCUGCCCACCACUUGGGGGAUAACCUUGCGAAAGUAAGACUAAUACCCAAUGAUAUCUCUAGAAGACAUCUGAAAGAGAUUAAAGAUUCAUCGGUGAUGGAUGGGGAUGCGU
rnacentral:rRNA from 1 species